rnacentral:rRNA from 2 species
UGAGGAAUUUUGGUCAAUGGACGGAAGUCUGAACCAGCCAAGUCGCGUGAAGGAAGGCGGCCCUAAGGGUUGUAAACUCCUUUUGUAAGGGAAGAAAGGUCGGUACGUGGUACCGGUUUGCAAGUACCUAACGAAUAAGGAUCGGCUAACUCCGUGCCAGCAGCCGCGGUAAUACGGAGGAUCCGAGCGUUAUCCGGAUUUAUUGGGUUUAAAGGGUGCGCAGGCGGGGGAUUAGGUCGGCGGUGAAAUAUCAGGGCUCAACCUUGAGAGUGCCGUCGAAACCGGUUUUCUUGAGUGCGGAUGAAGUAGGCGGAAUUUGUCGUGUAGCGGUGAAAUGCGUAGAUAUCACAAAGAACACCGAUUGCGGAGGCAGCUUACUAAACCGCAACUGACGCUCAUGCACGAAGGCGUGGGGAUCAAACAGG